rnacentral:rRNA from 1 species
UACGUAGGGUGCAGGCGUUGUCCGGAAUUAUUGGGCGUAAAGAGCUCGUAGGCGGUUUGUUGCGUCGGCUGUGAAAUCCCGAGGCUCAACCUCGGGUCUGCAGUCGAUACGAGCAAACUAGAGUGUUGCAGGGGAGACUGGAAUUCCUGGUGUAGCGGUGAAAUGCGCAGAUAUCGGGAGGAACACCCGUAGCGAAGGCGGCACUCUGGGCCGGAACUGACGCUGAGGAGCGAAAGCGUGGGGAGCAAACAGG